UACGUAGGGGGCAAGCGUUGUCCGGAAUCAUUGGGCGUAAAGAGCGUGUAGGCGGUCCGGUAAGUCCGCUGUAAAAGUCAAAGGCUCAACCUUUGAAUGUCAGUGGAUACUGCCGGGCUAGAGUCCGGAAGAGGCGAGUGGAAUUCCUGGUGUAGCGGUGGAAUGCGCAGAUAUCAGGAGGAACACCAAUAGCGAAGGCAGCUCGCUGGGACGUUACUGACACUGAGGCGCGAAAGCGUGGGGAGCGAACAGG
rnacentral:rRNA from 1 species